GCCAUCAGGUCAAGCUGGGGACUCUAAUGAAACUGCCUACGCAAGUAGUGAGAAGGUGGGGAUGACGUCAAAUCAGCACGGCCUUACGUCCAGGGCUACACACGUGCUACAAUGGCCGGUACAGAGCGCAGCGAAGCCGCGAGGCAAAGCGAAUCGCAAAAAGCCGGUCUCAGUACGGAUUGGAGUCUGAAACUCGACUCCAUGAAGUUGGAAUCGCUAGUAAUCGCGCAUCAGCAUGGCGCGGUGAAUACGUUCCCGGGCCUU
rnacentral:rRNA from 1 species